rnacentral:rRNA from 1 species
AGGCCCUAAUACAUGCAAGUCGAACGCUUUGUGGUUCAACUGAUUUGAAGAGCUUGCUCAGAUAUGACGAUGGACAUUGCAAAGAGUGGCGAACGGGUGAGUAACACGUGGGAAACCUACCUCUUAGCAGGGGAUAACAUUUGGAAACAGAUGCUAAUACCGUAUAACAAUGACAACCGCAUGGUUGUUAUUUAAAAGAUGGUUCUGCUAUCACUAAGAGAUGGUCCCGCGGUGCAUUAGCUAGUUGGUAAGGUAAUGGCUUACCAAGGCGAUGAUGCAUAGCCGAGUUGAGAGACUGAUCGGCCACAAUGGGACUGAGACACGGCCCAUACUCCUACGGGAGGCAGCAGUAGGGAAUCUUCCACAAUGGGCGAAAGCCUGAUGGAGCAACGCCGCGUGUGUGAUGAAGGGUUUCGGCUCGUAAAACACUGUUGUAAGAGAAGAAUGACAUUGAGAGUAACUGUUCAAUGUGUGACGGUAUCUUACCAGAAAGGAACGGCUAAAUACGUGCCAGCAGCCGCGGUAAUACGUAUGUUCCAAGCGUUAUCCGGAUUUAUUGGGCGUAAAGCGAGCGCAGACGGUUAUUUAAGUCUGAAGUGAAAGCCCUCAGCUCAACUGAGGAAUUGCUUUGGAAACUGGAUGACUUGAGUGCAGUAGAGGAAAGUGGAACUCCAUGUGUAGCGGUGAAAUGCGUAGAUAUAUGGAAGAACACCAGUGGCGAAGGCGGCUUUCUGGACUGUAACUGACGUUGAGGCUCGAAAGUGUGGGUAGCAAACAGGAUUAGAUACCCUGGUAGUCCACACCGUAAACGAUGAGUGCUAGGUGUUUGAGGGUUUCCGCCCUUAAGUGCCGCAGCUAACGCAUUAAGCACUCCGCCUGGGGAGUACGACCGCAAGGUUGAAACUCAAAGGAAUUGACGGGGACCCGCACAAGCGGUGGAGCAUGUGGUUUAAUUCGAAGCAACGCGAAGAACCUUACCAGGUCUUGACAUCCCUUGACAACUCCAGAGAUGGAGCGUUCCCUUCGGGGACAAGGUGACAGGUGGUGCAUGGUUGUCGUCAGCUCGUGUCGUGAGAUGUUGGGUUAAGUCCCGCAACGAGCGCAACCCUUAUUACUAGUUGCCAGCAUUCAGUUGGGCACUCUAGUGAGACUGCCGGUGACAAACCGGAGGAAGGUGGGGAUGACGUCAAAUCAUCAUGCCCCUUAUGACCUGGGCUACACACGUGCUACAAUGGCGUAUACAACGAGUUGCCAACCCGCGAGGGUGAGCUAAUCUCUUAAAGUACGUCUCAGUUCGGAUUGUAGGCUGCAACUCGCCUACAUGAAGUCGGAAUCGCUAGUAAUCGCGGAUCAGCACGCCGCGGUGAAUACGUUCCCGGGUCUUGUACACACCGCCCGUCACACCAUGAGAGUUUGUAACACCCAAAGCCGGUGGGGUAACCUUCGGGAGCCAGCCGUCUAAAGGGGGACAAAA